rnacentral:misc_RNA from 1 species
AUCCUCCCAGCCACAACUCCAAUCUUAAAACCUUUUGAAAGGUAGUGACCACUGAAAUAUAUUUCCUUCACAGAGGAGGGAUUUAUUCCUUUCUCUAUGUGUUUCACAAUUUGAACCCCUUGCUUAUCUGCACGGGUUAUAAACACAAAAAAAGUUGACAUAAUAACAGAUAUCAGUGGCGCAAUUGCAGGCACCCAGAAGAGUUUCUUGUUCUUUUUUCCAAUGUACUUGGCAAAUAGGAGGAAAGCUAAAAAGCUCACACCAAUAACUAUAGUCUGCCAGUUCCAUCCAUGAUGGGCUGAGACAAACACUGAGUGCAAUACGGAAACUAUAUCAGUUUUCUUUGUGAAAUCUUUUAUUCCAAGAAGAAGCUUAAGCUGCUGGAGUGCAAUUGUGAUGGCAGCUCCACCCAUGAAACCAACAACAGCAGCAUGUGAUAAGAAGUCAAUCAAGAAGCCCAACCUGAAAAAUCCAAGGGUUGCUUGGGUGAUUCCUGCAAAAAAGGUAGCUGUGAAUGCUAGCCUCCGAUAUGUUUCUGCAUCCUUUUUGGAAUCAACUUCAUUCUCAAGCAGAGUCCCCAUCAAGAGAGAAACCACAGCUACUGGUCCUAUUGCUAUAUCUCUAGAACUACCCAUGAAAGCAUAUAUCAAUGGUGGAACAAAGCUGGUGUACAAUCCAUACUGAGGGUCCAAAUUUGCAAGUUUUGCAUACCCAAUAUCCUGAGGAAUGCAGAGACUAGCAAUGGUCAGUCCAGCAAUGAUGUCCCCUUGAAAUUUGGUGAAAUUGUAACUCCUACCCCACUCAAGAAUAGGGAAGAUGGUUUGGAUGCCUAGGAUGAACUUUUUUGAUCUUGGUUGGUCCUUGAAAGGACGCAGAGGAUCAUCCGCAAAGAAUGUCUCCUUCACAGUAGCUUUGAUUUCUUUCAAGAGAUUUUGCUUAGGGGGAAUUCCAACCUUGUGUGUAUGUGGUGCGUUAGGAGUCUGAGGAUGAGAGGAUGACAGGCUUCUAAUGUCCAUAUCUUUUGUUUCGUGCUCUUUGUCAGUUGAAUAUACUGUUGAAGACACUGGCUCCAUAUUCAUGUACUCCUCAUGAAAGCCGUUGAUAGUGGACAACAGGAUUACCCUUCUCAAACCAAAAAAGAUCUUUCCUUGUCAAAACCUGGCACUCAAUCGCCCAAAAACAGAUAGCACCUUCCCAUUAAGUACGCCAGACUUGAUGGUCCUUAUGUUUCCAAAUACCCCAUAAUCAUCAUUGAUGAAUAAACAAAAGAACUUAAACUUACAAAUAAGACAAUUCCCAAAUGCCGUCCAGGUUCAAUGUAUUUUCUUACAACUCUAAAAAAGGGAAAAAUCAUGAACGGGCCCAAAAAAAUUUGCUGCCAUGUUUGGUUUCCGAGAAAAAAGAGAAGAAAGAAACUCCAGGAAACAAACUUCUUUCAACAUUAAAAUCAAAACUUUGAACUCUAUUCUCUACUAAAAAUAAAGAGACAGAGAGCAG